UUGAUAAAUCUCCAUCGUAUUAUAUAAAACAAAGCUCGCUCUCUGCACGCACUCUACGCCGAGCCUUCUUAACGUCUUUCUCCGAUCGUCGGUCUACAGAUUUAAGCGAUAACACUAGAUCCGACGAGACCAGAUCCUCUGCUUAGUCGCUAACAAUGCCUCUCAGACUCGAUAUCAAGAGAAAAUUUGCUCAACGAUCAGAGAGAGUCAAAUCUGUGGAUCUGCAUCCUACAGAACCAUGGAUUCUAGCAAGUUUGUAUUCUGGAACCCUGUGUAUUUGGAACUACCAGACACAGACGAUUACAAAAUCCUUCGAGGUGACCGAAUUGCCAGUGAGGUCAGCCAAGUUUAUUCCACGCAAGCAAUGGGUUGUGGCUGGAGCUGAUGAUAUGUACAUCCGUGUAUACAAUUACAAUACAAUGGACAAGGUCAAAGUAUUCGAGGCUCAUUCGGAUUACAUUAGGUGUGUAGCUGUCCAUCCAACCCUUCCAUAUGUGCUAUCAUCUUCUGAUGAUAUGCUCAUAAAGCUUUGGGACUGGGAAAAUGGUUGGGCUUGUACUCAGAUAUUUGAGGGGCAUUCGCACUAUGUGAUGCAAGUGGUAUUCAAUCCAAAAGACACCAACACUUUUGCCAGUGCAUCGCUUGAUCGGACCAUAAAGAUAUGGAAUCUUGGUUCCCCAGACCCAAAUUUUACACUGGAUGCUCAUCAGAAAGGAGUCAACUGCGUAGAUUAUUUCACAGGGGGUGACAAACCCUACUUAAUUACUGGCUCUGAUGAUCAUACUGCUAAGGUAUGGGACUAUCAAACCAAGAGUUGUGUUCAGACGCUAGAUGGACACACACACAAUGUAUCUGCCGUAUGUUUCCAUCCUGAGCUUCCAAUAAUAAUCACAGGUUCUGAGGAUGGCACUGUUCGCAUUUGGCACUCCACGACUUACAGGCUAGAAAACACAUUGAAUUACGGUCUUGAGAGAGUUUGGGCCAUUGGUUACAUCAAAAGUUCGCGGCGGGUUGUGAUUGGAUAUGAUGAAGGAACCAUCAUGGUUAAACUUGGACGAGAAAUUCCUGUUGCUAGCAUGGACAGUAGCGGAAAAAUCAUAUGGGCUAAGCAUAAUGAAAUUCAAACUGCAAACAUCAAAAGUAUUGGUGCAGGUUACGAGGCUACUGAUGGAGAAAGACUUCCCUUGUCUGUUAAAGAGCUGGGGACCUGUGAUCUUUAUCCACAAAGCUUGAAGCACAACCCUAAUGGGAGGUUUGUCGUUGUUUGUGGUGAUGGAGAGUACAUAAUCUACACAGCUUUAGCUUGGAGAAAUAGAUCUUUCGGGUCUGGGCUGGAAUUUGUUUGGUCAUCCGAGGGGGAAUGUGCAGUUAGAGAAAGUUCAUCAAAGAUAAAGAUAUUCAGUAAAAAUUUCCAGGAAAGGAAGAGUAUUCGGCCUACUUUCUCAGCUGAGAAGAUCUUUGGAGGAACCUUGUUAGCAAUGUGUUCAAAUGAUUUCAUCUGCUUUUAUGAUUGGGCUGAAUGCAGGCUGAUUCAACAAAUUGAUGUCACAGUAAAGAAUCUUUAUUGGGCCGAAAGUGGUGAUUUAGUAGCCAUUGCUAGUGAUACGUCAUUCUACAUCUUGAAGUACAAUCGUGACUUGGUUUCCUCGCAUUUUGAUAGUGGAAGGCCAACUGAUGAAGAGGGUGUUGAUGAUGCUUUCGAGGUUCUCCACGAAAUGGACGAACGUGUCAGGACAGGUAUAUGGUUUGGGGACUGCUUCAUUUACAACAACUCUUCUUGGAAGCUUAACUAUUGUGUUGGAGGCGAGGUAACCACAAUGUAUCAUUUGGACCGCCCAAUGUAUCUGUUAGGCUAUAUUGCCAACCAAAGCCGGGUGUACUUAGUAGACAAAGAAUUCAAUGUCAUAGGAUAUACCUUGCUCCUUAGCCUGAUUGAAUACAAGACUCUUGUGAUGCGAGGCGAUUUGGAUAAAGCGAAUCAAAUUUUACCUACAAUUCCUAAAGAGCAGCAUAACAGUGUUGCUCAUUUCUUGGAAUCUCGGGGAAUGAUUGAAGAUGCUUUAGAAAUUGCUACAGAUCCUGACUACAAAUUUGAUCUGGCCAUACAAUUGGGUAGACUUGAAAUUGCAAAGGAAAUUGCUGAAGAAGUACAGAGCGAGUCUAAAUGGAAGCAGUUAGGAGAGUUAGCCAUGUCCUCUGGGAAGCUGCAACUGGCCGAGGAUUGCAUGAAGUAUGCUAUGGAUUUGAGUGGUUUGUUACUACUAUAUUCUUCUUUGGGAGAUGCUGAAGGGGUGUCAAAACUUGCAUGCCUUGCUAAGGAACAGGGGAAGAACAAUGUUGCCUUUCUUUGCUUAUUUACGCUGGGUAGAUUGGAAGAUUGUCUGCAGUUAUUGGUAGAGAGUAACCGGAUACCAGAAGCUGCGCUGAUGGCACGAUCUUAUCUUCCAAGCAAAGUUUCAGAGAUAGUAGCUCUUUGGAGAGAAGAUCUCAGCAAGGUUAAUUCAAAAGCAGCAGAAUCUUUAGCUGAUCCGGAAGAGUACCCAAAUCUUUUUGAGGAUUGGCAAGUAGCUCUUUCUGUUGAAGCAAACACAGCAGAGACAAGGGGAGUUUAUACUGCUGCAGAAAAUUAUCCAUCCCAUGCCGAUAAAUCCUCCAUUACCCUCGUGGAAGCCUUUAGAAACCUGCAAGUUGAAGCAGAGGAAUCACUUGAAAAUGGAGAUAUCAAUCACGAGGUAGCAGAGGAAAACGGUCAUGUAGGGAAUGAAGGAGCUGAAGAGAAACAAGAAGAAGAAGAAGUGAAUGAAGAAGAGGGAGUGGUGGAUGCAGACUCUACGGAUGGCGCUGUACUAGUUAAUGGAAGUGAGGCUGAAGAAGAGUGGGGUACGGAUAACAAAGGAAACCCAUCAGCCUAAUAAGCAAGUCAGUCCUGGAUCAAUGUAGAAAAGUCGAAAUUUUGUCUCUGUGCUUACACCACAUCCCUAGCUAGUUCCAUUAGCGGCCAGUUAUACUCAAAGGAAUCAAUUCUUGGUGGAAGAUAAAAGAAGAUAUGGUGGAGAUUAGAGAUAAAAGAAGAUUGGGAUUGGGUGGGAUAAAGGAAGUAGUAGUUUCAUUUGUGUUUUCUUGGGAUCCCCUUGGUGGUGGUGGUGUUGUGGUUUUCAUAUAAUUACUAUACAGUAUUAUAAAAGCUACAUUUAGGGAGUUUUACAUUCUUCUGCUAUAGAUUUCAACUCAUGUUCACAGAUUUCUGGUGCAUAUAUAUAAUAAUUCUUUUGGAAGCCUUAUAUAUGAUACCCUUUUGAUU